rnacentral:lncRNA from 1 species
GCAAACACGACGCAAUAUCAAGAGAGAAACAGAGAUUCUCACACACACACACACACACACACACACACACACACACGCGCGCGCGCGUGUAUGUUGCCAUACAUACAAUUCUUUUCUUCAUUAUCGUCAUAAGGUCAGAAGGUUAUGAGAAAUUAAAAAUCAAUAUUACGAUCAAAGCAAAAUAUAAUCAUGUUUUUCUGAGAAGAGAGAGCAUCUGAUAUAUGUCAAAUCUAAUACUAGGUUAGUUUAUCAUUCAGCGUAUCCCAUAUAUGAAAAACAAUUUAUCAUCAAAUUGUCGUCAAAUUGGCAAUAAAUUAUCUCAAAACUUGAUACCAAACACUAUAGCAUCUGUGUCCGUGAUCAGUUUGUAUUUUGCUGGCAAAGUUUGCAUCAUAAUUUGAUAGCAAAUUAUGAUCAAAAAACGAGCAAAAUCUGUGCAAUUCAGUUGACGUUAAAUUGCUCUUUGAUAGCAAUAUAAUGUCAAAUUUUGCAAGUAUAUUAUUAAAUUUGUUUAAUAUUUAACGACUAUUUGCUGGCAAAGUUGUAAAAUACAUUUUGUUAUAUUUCUGCUAAUAACUUGUCAACAUCUUGUUUAACAGAAUUUGUGUUAAAUUUGGGGUUAUUUUACUUACAAACUUUCUAGCAAAGAUUUGGAUUAUUUGUUUUGGCAAGUUUGGCUAUCUGGAUAAGAAUUGCAUGGAAAAACGUCUAACUGCAUCCAUACAUUGAUAUAUCCUAUUAUUAUUUUUCAUGAAUAACAUUUUAACAUUGAUGAACACUCUUAUAAUAUUAUACAUACAUAAUACAUGGAUUAUCAAUUUACUGUAAUUAAAUAUGAAAUUGUAUUUUGAAAGAGAAUGGAAAAGAUAUUGUUAAUCAUCGCUUACCCGCUUAUUCUUCUGUAUUAUAUGCGUUUAUCACACUACAAAGUCGUCAGUACUCGUCACUGGUUGCCACCAUACUAAAAUCUGUUUCAAGUCAAGAUGAACUCACCGCUAUGGUUGCUUUCCAACACAUUCUCGAAUUGGAGCGGGGGAGAAAGGAUGCAAGCGAAUUAAGAGCAAUGAGUGUGACAAAGACAUCAAAGAGAAAACAAUCGAACUGGUAAGAUAAACCAAAAAGAAGGGAUAGAAUUAAUAAUAUGGAUUCGAAAAAAAUAAUAAUGUAUAUGUGUUUGUAAUUGAUACUGAAAUAUAAAGAAACAUGUUGCGACAACUAAUAUUUAGUCAUCGAUAUUAUUGAACAUUAAUAUUGAAUAAAGAUUGUUAUUAUGGA